AACGAACGCUGGCGGCAGGCCUAACACAUGCAAGUCGAGCGAGGACUUCGGUUCUAGCGGCGGACGGGUGAGUAACGCGUGGGAAUGUGCCCUUCUCUACGGAAUAGCUCUGGGAAACUGGGAGUAAUACCGUAUACGCCCUAUUGGGGAAAGAUUUAUCGGAGAAGGAUCAGCCCGCGUUGGAUUAGGUAGUUGGUGGGGUAAUGGCCUACCAAGCCGACGAUCCAUAGCUGGUUUGAGAGGAUGAUCAGCCACACUGGGACUGAGACACGGCCCAGACUCCUACGGGAGGCAGCAGUGGGGAAUCUUAGACAAUGGGGGCAACCCUGAUCGAGCCAUGCCGCGUGAGUGAUGAAGGCCUUAGGGUUGUAAAGCUCUUUCAGCUGGGAAGAUAAUGACGGUACCAGCAGAAGAAGCCCCGGCUAACUCCGUG
rnacentral:rRNA from 1 species